rnacentral:lncRNA from 1 species
GCUGUGGUGCAGGUGGCCGAAGGGGGCGUUACUGUUGCGACUGGCAUCCGCAUCCGGCAGAUGUAGAUGGAACCAAAGUCCAGAAGUUACGCGUCACCCUUGCUCUACAGCCAAACAUGCAGGACUCUAGUAACCCGCGAAAUGAUGGGAUAGCGUUGCAAAUCCUUAAAAGAGUCUUAACGAAAUCCUGGCUGACAUUGACUUCUCCACUGCAACCAUCGAGUUCAUUGUCUCCUAAACCUUGCCAUGGAGGCCUGUGGCACCUGAGCCAGCCAUUAUCAUCACCAGCACUUCCAUGAGCUACAAGCUGGACCCACUGCAGUCCUCCUGACACACUGAAAUCAGAGCCUGCACACAGAGCAGCAGAUGCUUCAAUGUAAAGGUCAUUUCCAGGUCCUUGACAGGCGUGCAUCUGGGCCAGAUCCAUGGCAAUAACCUUCAGGUUGAGGCUAGAGGGCUUCAGAUGGGCAGCUUCGAAUGACAGGAGCAAGGCACAAGAGGCCGGAAAGGGAGGGUGACAUUUUCAGCAUCUAUAAGAUCAACUUUAGAAACAUUUGGGGGUUGACAAAUUCCCAUCAAGCUCUGUGGAUCUUGUACAACUGCUCACCACCGGCUUCUCAUCAGCACAUGAUUGGUGCAGGGUUCUGAGGAUGAUUUUGAGAUGUUCCCUGAUGUGGUCUUGUGAGGAGAUUUCAUGACAGAUGGCAGGAAGCUUCGUGGAGAGAUUUCUGAAGACACUCCUGAGCUCCCAACACCGGGCAACUCUCUUCCAGAGGAUAGUGGGGUGGAGGGUAGAAGAGAGGCAAAGUCAGGAGAAGGGAAAAUGUUACAUUGUCAAAGUCCCAAAGCCUUUCAGCCUGAAGCCAGGAACAAUUGUUCAAAGUUUCUUUGGAACAUCAAGGAAGGAAAUCCAGAUUUUACUUUAAGUGCAAUGGGGAGUCAUUAAGGAUUUUGUGUAGAUACAGCAAAAAGACAACAAUCUUCAAGCCACAAUGGCCCUCACCAGAACCCAGCCAUGUGGUCAGCCUGAUCUCGGACUUCACAGCCAGCAGAACUGUUUGUCAAAGAUCAGAUGGUUUCCUUAAGCUGAUAAGCAACUUCAACAAAGUCUCAGGAUACAAAAUCAAUGUGCAAAAAUCAUAAGCAUUCUUAUACACCAAUAACAGACAAACAGCCAAAUCAUGAGUGAACUUCCAUUCAUAAUUGCACAAAGAGAAUCAAAUACCUAGGAAUCCAGCUUACAAGGGAUGUGAAGGACCUCUUCAAGGAGAACUACAAACCACUGCUCAAUGAAAUAAAAGGGGACACAAACAAAUGGAAGAACAUUCCAUGCUCAUGGUUAGGAAGAAUCAAUAUCGUGAAAAUGGCCAUACUGCCCAAGAUAAUUUAUAGAUUCAAUGCCAUCCCCAUCAAGCUACCAAUGACUUUCUUCACAGAAUUGGAAGAAACUACGUUAAAGUUCAUAUGGAACCAGAAAAGAGCCUGCACUGCCAAGACAACCCUAAGCAAAAAGAACAAAGCUGGAGGCAUCAUGCCACCUGACUUCAAACUAUACUACAAGGCUACAGUAACCAAAGCAGCAUGGUACUGGUACCAAAACAGAGAUAUAGACCAACGGAACAGAACAGAGGCCUCAGAAAUAACACCACGCAUCUACAGUCUAUGGUAUUUUACUAUGGAAGCCCACCCUAAGAUUUCAAUUUAGCUUCCAUGUAGUUCCCUGGUGCUUGGCAAUCUCCUGACUCACUACCUUGUCACAUGGUCUAUCCCAAGUCAGUCCUUCUCCUCUUCCCAUAUCCCCCUACUCCAAUAUUCACCCAUAUGUGGCCAAGUCUUCCUCCACCUGAGCUCCUUGCAGAGGAAUGAACAAUUGUUUGAACAUUAAUGAAUAUUAAAGUAAGUAAAGAAGAGACAAAUCUCCACUUGUUUUGAUAGUAGGGUGAUCUUUGGUGAGCUUAGGAAAAGUUUCAACCAAGUAGUCAUAGCAUGAUCCAAGUUAACAUGCAUUGAGCCAGGCGUGAUGGUUCAUGCCUGUAAUCCCAGCACUUUGGGAGGCUCAUGGGGGCAGAUCACUUGUGGUCAGGAGUUCACGACCAGCCUGGCCAACAUGGUGAAACCUCGUCUAUACUAAAAGUACAAAAAUUAGCCAGGCAUGGUGGUGCAUGCCUGUAAUCCCAGCUACUUGGG